UUGUGUGAAGGAUAGAAGCGAAAAAUCCAGAGCUAAACACGAUCGAGGACUUGUAGCGUAUAGCCUGACCCUUU
rnacentral:sRNA from 1 species